rnacentral:rRNA from 1 species
GACGAACGCUGGCGGCGUGCUUAACACAUGCAAGUCGUGCGGUAAGGCCCUGCUUUGGUGGGGUACACGAGCGGCGAACGGGUGAGUAACACGUGGGUGACCUGCCUUCAGCUUUGGGAUAAGCCUGGGAAACUGGGUCUAAUACCGGAUAUGACCUUGGGGUGCAUGCCUUGGGGUGGAAAGCCUGUGUUGUUUGGCAUGGGUGGCUGGGGAUGGGCCCGCGGUCUAUCAGCUUGNGGUGGGGUGAUGGCCUACCAAGGCGACGACGGGUAGCCGGCCUGAGAGGGCGUUCGGCCACACUGGGACUGAGACACGGCCCAGACUCCUACGGGAGGCAGCAGUGGGGAAUAUUGCGCAAUGGGCGGAAGCCUGACGCAGCGACGCCGCGUGGGGAUGACGG